UAGAAACUCCUCAUGCUUUACUCAUCCCAGCCAGUAGGAGCAAGCGCAGGGGUGGGGGCUGCUGCACCUGCAAAUUGCGGGGUGGCGGCUGCGGCUGCGGCUGCACCGGCAAAUUGCGGUGGUGGAGCUGCAGCAUCCCAUUCUGUGGUGAAUCCACCUAAAGUUGAACCCAAAAAGAAGUGUUAUCAGAAAGAAAAGAAAUUGAGAAAGAAAAAAAAAAAAGGGAGUUGGAUCAAAAGCAGCAUCUGACAACUUCAUGAAAUGUAAAUUUAAAAUGAUUAAGGGAGCUAAACUGGUGUUGGAAUAACUCAAUACCUUGUUCUGGAUAGAAAUUGGCAGCAGGAACAGCAGCAAUAGGUGGUGGAGCUGCUUCAGCAGUCCAUUGGCCAUCAGCAAUUUGGGCACCCCAAUCAGCUGCAGGAAGCCCAUAAUCAGCAGGAGGUAGUGCAUAAUCAGCAACGGGCACUGCUUCCUCCUCUUCCUGUUCCUUGGUUUCCUCAGGUUCUCUAUAGAAAAACAAGUCCACCUGCUCAUGGAAAGAUAAAUGGAUAUAUAAUAAACUAAAGUAGAAAAAACACUGAUGGCCACUUAUACAAGCAUUUUGACACAAACUGUCUGUAACAAAUGUUUAAACUUUUGUGCACCUUUCAACGAGACAGGAAUAUAAUAUGCCUUAUUCAUAUAAAUAGCUGUUAUAAAUGCCUACAUUUUCUACAGGUGACUACAUGAGUCAGAGGAUGUGUGUUCAAGCAAUGAAAUUGUAUAUACUGGGAAUUGAAAGAGCAAACAAUAGAUUGGAACCAUUGAAUGCAAAAAGCCAUCAGCUACUAUGAGUGUACCAUAACAUCCCACUUGUGCCCUUGAGGAAUAGUGCCACGCAUCUGUAGAACCAUUCUUGCCAAGAGCCAAAAUAGGCACCCAAUACUGUGCUUUCCUUUGUUAUUUGCAGGGAUGCCAAUAUCCACAUAUCGCAUAGGAGAAUCAGUAUCACAGAAAGCGAUGGUGGGAAUGUUUCCUAGAGAAGAUUCCUUAAUAGGCUGCAUGUGUAAGAAAAGUUAGAAUUCGGUCAAGGUUCAUAUAGGAAAUAAAACAUUCAUAAAAAAGGCAUCCACACUAAGCUUAAGGCCAUGAAUAGGGGAGGAUUCACCUGGUGAUCAGUUCUUGGAUCAGUGAGGAUCAAGAGACGAGGCUCACUGAAAGAUGUUUGGAGCUGGUUAGUGAAUGUACCGGGAGUGUGCCUUCCAGCAAUAGCAUGAGCACCGGUGUAUUGAGCAAACUUGAGGACUGCUCUUUGACCAUAAGGCCUUGCAGACUGAACAAUAAUGUCCUGAGGGUUCUCAAUGCCAACAAUAACCCUAGCAGCCAGUUGAAGUUUUUCCCAAGUCUUACCAAGAUUGAUAAUAUAAAUUCCUGGGAAGGAACAAGGAGUAAUUCAUACCAACAUCAUUAACAUCUUGACAGCACAUCAAACUUCAGGAUUUAGAUAAGCAACAGUAAAGACAAGCAAGACUAGGAAAUAGAUUCUGGAAUGCAAAAUCAUGAUGCAUACAACUAAUACAUGUAUAUGAAUCUCUAGAACUGCUAAAAUACAACUUGUAUAUGCACAAGUGUCUCCAAGAAAAAAGCAGUAUUUCCGUAAAGAUCAAUUCGAAUUAAAAAGUAACUACUUCAAACAAGACAGAUUCUUAAGCAAUUCAAGUAAUCCAAUUCCAUAAUAUAUCUUCCUUCUACUCUGAUUCAUUCACAAGGCAGCUUAAGAGGCUAAGACUAUUGAAUCAGUGAUUCGCUUUAUUCCUAAUUCUACACAAAAUUCACAUCAUCAAAAUAAAAAGAAAAAAAAGGGGAUUAUAUCAGAACUAGUCCCGGAUGAUCGAGUGGAAACAUAAUCAUCUGCAGCCAUUGAAUAUACCGCUUAUCGGAGAUCUUCCUAAUAAGAUAAUCAAACUUACAUAUGUAUCCAAGAGAGAGUAAAUACCAUCAUUUCGGCGCUUGAACACGUAGCGUUCCAUCUGGAAAUCGCAGUUCUUAGUGCCGAGGUGAACUUCGGCAGCCAACAUCAUCUGUAUAUCCAACUCCUUCUGGGACAAAGUCCGGGUGGGAGCUGCUGCCAUCGCCAUGGCUUCUAUGAAACAGCUUGAGAGGAAGAGAACUGUAACCGUCUGUGUCAGAUAGAGAGCGAGGGAUGAGCUAGGUUUUUCCGAGGGAGACUGAGAGAGUAUAUGAUUUUAAUUUAUAUUAAAAUAAUAUAUAAUAUUGUAAUUAUCAAUUAAAAAAAUAUAAAAAAUAUUUUAUAAAUUUAUUUAUUUUUAUUUUAGAGUAGAAAUUAAUUUAUAUUAAAUUAUUUUUUAUAUUAAUAUUUUUAAUGUUAUUUAAAAAUUAUCUCCAUUUGUUAAUCGUCCAAUAUUAUAAAUAUUCGAUUUGAAUUAAAAAAUUAAUAAAAUUAUGAAUUUUUUUUCUUUUCCCUAAAAUUUAUUUCAAUAAAAAAUAUUGAAAUUAAAAGUAUCUUAAGAUCUCAUUUCUAACUCUUUAAUUUUUUCAAGAAACAAAAUGAAAUCCGCUAGAAUAGAUGUCUUUUUUAUUUCUUUCUUUGGUUUUUUUUUUUUUUUUUUCUGUAUACUAUUUUUAAUUUUUUAUUAGUUUUUUUAAUUCUUCUUUAUUAAUAGUCUUUUAAAUAAUUGUUAAUAACUUAUAAUUUAAACAAUGCAAAUUAAAUUAAGGCAUCAAAUUUUUUUUUUUUGAAAUAGGAAUUAAGAGAGUAGAACAUGGGAUCUUUUAGAUUUACUCAAAUAUAUUUACUAUGAGACUAUAUCUGUGAGUGCAAAGUAUUAAAAUUAUUUGAUGAUUAUAAAAUUAUGAUUUACAUAUUUUUUUUAAAAAUACAUGUCAGAAUGUAUAUAUAUAUACUUAAUAAUAAAGUUUUGAUGCAUUUUAGGAUAUUAUUAAAAUUAAUUGUCCGUCUAAGAUCAUUGAUAGAACUUAUUUUUUGUUUAAAAAUACUAUUGAGAACACCAAUUUAUUGCAACUCUCUUACUGACUUUCAAUUAUAACACUAAAUUUUAAAAUCUUUAUUAACAAACAACUUUUUAACAAGUUUUUUAACACGUCUUUAAAUUGGUUUAGCAGUAUUCAAAUUAACAGCAUAUUUUGAUGCACAUCUUAACCCCAAAAAAAAAAAUUCCUUAAAUGUACCAACCAAGACGUUCUAGCAUAUGUUGCCUAUUUAGCCUAAUCCUUGCAAGCUUUUCAAAACGGGAUUGAACUAAGCAAACUUACCAUUAAUACAUUCUAACUUCCAAUUUCUAUCUAUUCACUUCUUCAACAUGGCAAAUUAAGAAGUGAUCUCAACGGUUGCAAAUAAAAAAAUAUAGCAUCAAUACAUCAAGGUUCAUGAAACAAAUAAAAUUACUGAGCGAGUAAUUCAAAAAAUGCAGUUAGCAACUGUCAACUCCAUUUCACUCCAUAUCUUAUGGAUACCAGUAGUAACUGAAAUCGAUUGAACCAUUAAGAGCAUGACUUAUGGCACUUAUAUUUCGCACUGAAAGCAAGACUUACAACAACUAUCAAAAAGUUGAAGCCAUAACCUAUAAAUUCACGUAAUAUCACGUAUAUAGACAAUGGUCAAAAUUUGUAUUCGCAUUACAGUGGAAGGUGAUUUGAGUGGAAACACCAUGACCUAUAGACAUUACAGAUACCAUAGAUUUAAGAUCUCCGACUAAGCUAUUCCAACAUCAUUCAUAUGAAACAUUGUAACGACCCGGAAAUCGGACCGCUACCGGAGCUAGGAUCCAGAUCGGCUUAAGGCCGCCGGGACCCGUAGCAAGCCCAUCCUGAACUCUGUGUACCUGAUAAAUCCCAUACAUGAUCAAACAUAAACAUAAAAAAACUGAAAACUUUCCUCCCACUUACCAAGCUUGACCUGCAUGCACUAUGUCUGGAAACAUAGAACCCACUCUCAUAGGGUCAGCAUAUCAUAAGUCAGCCUUGGUUCCACACAUUUCUCAACAAGAAACAUAAAACAGGAUCAUGCAUAACAAGGGAUUAACCAUACACUAGGGCCAAGCACAAUACUCUAUCCAUUACAUUACAUAUUAAUCCUUUAAAUUACAUCAUGUCCGCUACUCUAUUACAUAGCCAAAACCUUUACCCUUGACGCCUUCCUGGACUACCUCUGACCUGCAAAACUAGGGUGAGGGGAGAGGGAUGAGCUAAAAAGCCCAGUGAGGAGAAACAAUGAAAACUGUUCAUUAAUUACAUGCUUUCAUGGAAUGCGUCACAGCACAAACAUUUCACAUCUCGGAUUGGACAUGACCUCAAAACUCCCUCUGUCAGCGCCCGGCCCCCCCUAGGGAGCUCACACAGGUCUUUCCUUACUUAACAGAUCGUGGGCUAUUGAGGUCGCCUUGGUCCAUCCACAUCAACAAUAAAGAAUGCAAUGCAUCAUAGUCGUGACUACUAAUGCAAUCAUCCUAUUACAUAUACUCAUGAUGCAUGAUACAUGCUCAAAACAUUCAAUUUCUCAUAUUGAAAACAUUAAGUUUAGUUCUACUCACCUCUGGCAGACGCUGGACUGACUCUGCAACAGCUAACACUGAUGGCCUUCUCGGUCCCUCGGGUCCGAUCCUACACAGGUGGACUCGAAUAAGGUGCCAAACACACUCUAAGCAACUUAUAAACAACUCCCUAAAAACCCCCCUAAAACAUCCUCAAGCAAGCCUGGAAAACAAGCAAAAAAAAGCUGGACAGGGCAUCUUUGGCGGCACCUUCGGCGGCCGAACCCCCUCUUCAGAGACGAAACUCGGGCACUUUCGGCGGCACCUUCGGCAACCGAAAGUCCCUUCCAGAUUCGAAAGUCUAAACUUUCGGGGGCAAGGUUCGGGGGCUGAAAGACCUUCCAGAGCCGAAAGUCAUCCACCUUCGGCGGCAUGUUCGGCGGCCGAACCUUCCCUCCAGAGACGAAAGUCUCAACCUUCGGGGGCAAGGUUAGGCGGCCAAAACAGCCAUCCUAAGGGGUUCGGCGGCCGAACCUUGCUUCGGCAGCCGAACCUGAGUUCAUCCAGAACUCAGCUUCAUGCACAAACAAGCCUCCCAAACCUUCCAAACACCCAAAACAUGCAAACCACAAUUUCACAACCUGCAUAUACUCAAGUAUAGGCACAAAGGGGUUCAAAACUAACUUAAAACCCCAACAAACAACACAACCAAACACAUAUACAUGCUUUGACCACAAAUCAACCAAAACCUCAACUUACCCUAAACAUGCAUCUCUACUCAAAAACUCCAUAAACCCUUCAUAAAACAUGAAAAGAAGUUCAGGAUCUACACUUACCUCUUACAAACAAGAAGAUAAACGAUCCUAACGUGGAGAUAUGGAGAAACUCUCCCUCAAAGUCUCCAACUUCAAAACUUUUGGGUGAUUUGCUCAAAAGCUUCAAAACAACAUAAAACCCAUCAAAACUUUGCAAGAUUUGAAGAAAACAUGAAGAUCACCCAAGGAAGAACAUGAUCUCACCUCUGUCUGUGAAUGGAAAGAAAAAUCUUAUCCAUUCAUCGACCUAGGGCCUUUUAUAGGUGGCUGGUCAGACCACCUUCGGCGGCCAAACGUGAAACCAAAACCAUGCAACGUUCGGCGGCCGAACCUCACUUUCAGCGGCCGAACCUUGCAUUUCUUCUUUGGCUCUUUUCUUUCAAAAAACUCAUUUCCUUUUGUACUCAAAACCUUAAACCACUUAAAAACAUUUGAGAAAACCUUUCUUUUACCCUUCUAGGAACCUUCGACACCCUCGGAUUCCAUAUUCCAACGGAGCUCCCGCCGAAAAAUAAGAAUUCUGAUACCGGCGUCUAGCCGGGUAUUACAAACAUCAAAUCAAAAAUUGAAAUUCCUAAAAAAUUAUAAUGAAACAGAAUAAAAGCACUUCAAGUAAGAAAAUUUGCACAAAAACGUAUGCAAAUGCAAAUGAAGGAAGGAGAUAGUAUAUACCAUCAUUGCGGCGCUUGAAAACAUAAUGUUCCAUCUAGAAGUCGCAGUUCUUUGUGCAGAGGUGGACUUCAGCAGCCAACAUCAUCUGUAUAUCCAACUCUUUCUGGGACAGAGCCCGUGCUGGUUCUGGUGUUGUGCCGGUGGCCAUGGCUGCGCAAAGCAAAAGCUCGAUUGCUUGAGGGAGACGGAGCGAGAGUAUGACCAACAGAUGAGGUAAGAGUUCUUUAACCUAGAGGGAAGAAACUAGGGUUUUAAGGGCCCGUUGAAAUAUUAGCGCGUCUUAGGCAGACAAUUUUUAGGAAAUCCUAGACUCCAUUGAAGUUUAAAUAUUAAAGCCCCUUCAAAAUCCAUGUUGAUUUUUUUUAAAUGUCAUUCAAAUAUUUAAUUAUUUUAUAAAUUUAUAAUUGAAUUAUACUAAAUUCGAUAUCAAAUUAGUUUUCAAACAUUUUAUAUUUAAUGUAUUAAUAUUAUGUUAUCUAAUAUGUAUGAAUAUAUUUUCAUGAAAUUAGACAAUGUCCUAAAGUGUGAGGUAUGGUUUCUUUUAAAAUAAUUAUUUUAUAAGAAAUUUACAAUUUAAUUCUUGAGUAUUACCAUUAUUAACAAGUUAGUCCCUAUAUUUUCAGAAACAUAUUAAAAUGUUCCUAUCUUUUAUCUUCGUCAACAAAAUGAUCAUUCCGUCUACUUCUGCCGUUAAAAAUAUAGCAAAAGACCAAAUUACCCCCUUUUUCCCUCCUCCUCCUCCUCCUCCUCCUUCUUCUUUUUUAUCAAUUCUUCCUCCUCUUCUUAUUAUUCUUCUUUGAUUUUUCUUCGAAUUUUCUUUUUAUUCUUCUUCCUUAAGGAGGAGAAGGAGGAGGGGACUAUUCUUCUUUUUCUUCUUCUUUUUCUUCAUCAUCAUCUUCUUCUUCUCCUCCUUCUUCUUCUUUUUCUUCUUCUUUUUUUUUUUUUUCCUUUUUGAAAUAGGGAUUGGGGAGUAGAACUGAGACCUCUCAGAUUUACUCAUAUGCACUUACCACUAGACUAUGCCUGUGAGUGCAAGGUAUCAAAAUUAUUUGAUGAUUAUAAAAUUAUGAUUUACAUAUUUUUUUUUAAAGAUACAUGUCAGAAUAUAUAUAUAUAUAUAUACAUUUAAUAAUAAAGUUUAGAUGCCUUUUAGGAUACUAUUAAAACUAAUUGCCCGUCUAAGAUCAUUGAUAGAACUUAUUUUUUGUUUGAUAAUGCCAUUGAGAACACCAAUUUAACACAACUCUCUUACUGACUUUAAAUUGUAACACUAAAUUUUAAAAUCUUGAUUAACAAACAACUUUCUAACAAGUUUUUUAACACGUCUUUAAAUUGGUUUAGCACUAUUUAAAUUAACAGCAUAUUUUGAUGCAUGCCUUAACCAAAAAAAAAAAAUUCCGUAAAUAUACUAACCAAAACGUCCUAGCAAAUGUUUCCUAUUUAGCCUAAUCCUUGCAAGCUUUUCAAAACGGGAUUAAACUAAGCAAACUUACCAUAAAUACAUUCUAACUUCCAAUUUCUAUGUAUUCACUUCUUCAACAUGGCAAAUUAAGAAGUGAUCUCAACGAUUGCGAAUAAGAAAAUAUAGCAUUACUAUAUCAAGGUUUAUGUUAAAAUUUUAAAAUCCAAACGUCUACAACUUAGCUAUACUCUAGGUAAAUAUAAAAUAAAAAAAAGGGAAAUUUGAUGUUGCUUAAUCCCUCAAGCAAGUAAUAAUCACGAAUAAUAACAAUAAACAUGGUAUUGACGUUAUCUUGUUUCACUCAUCCUAGCCAGUAACAGAAGGUGCAGGUGCUACUGCAGUAGCAAAUUGGGGUGGAGCUGGUGCAACAUCCCAUUCACCUGAAGUAGGAACACAUAAAGAUAUUGUGUUAGGGGCCAAAAACACUACCACCAGCAUGGUGAAACGCAUGUAACAUUGCAAUGGUACAACAAAAAAUUGUAAAUAUAUAAACAGGAUCACAAGGUAGAUUAAAUGAAGUUUACUAGUGUUUGAAAAACUUAUACCUUGAUCUGGAUAUACGGCAGCAGGAACAGUUGAAAUAGGUGGUGGAACUGCUUCAGCAUUCUACUGGCCAUAAGUAAUUUGGGCACCCCAAUCAGCAGAAGCAAGUCCAAAAUUAGCAGCAGGGAGUGCAUAAUCAGCAACUGCUACCGCUUCCUCCUCUUCCUGUUUCUUAGUCUCCUCAGGUUCUCUGUAGAAGAAUAAGUCCACCUGCACAUGGAAAACAAAUAAAUGAAAAUGUAAUAAACCUAAAAGCUUGAAAUUGUAGCCAAUUAUGCAAACAAAGUGAAAAAAAUAUAACCAAAGAAUAUACUUUCAUGAGAAAGAAGCAUCAUAUAACUUGUCCAUAUGCACACAUAGCUAUGAAAUGUCGACAUAGAUUACAGGCCAAUAAACACAUAAGGUAACAGGAUGAGUGUUCACAUUAUCAAUUUGUAAAUAUCACAAAUCAGCAGAGAUGUUUGUAAAACGAGCAGCCAUUGCCAAAAAAACAGUUAUAUGAUAAUGUGCAUGUACCAUAACAUCUCACUUGUGCCCUUAAGGAAUAGUGCCACGCAUCUACAGAACCAUUCUUGCCAAGAGCCAAUAUAGGCAUUCAAUACUCUGCCUCCCUUUCAUAUUUCGCACUGAAAGCAAGACUUACGACAGCUAUCAAACGGUUGAAGCCACAACCUACAAAUUCACGUAGUAUCACAUAUUUAGACAAUGGUCAAAAUUUGUAUCUGAGUUAGAGUCGAAGGUGAUUUGAGUGGAAACACAAUGACCUACAGACAUUACGGAUACCACAGAUCUGAGAUCUCCUACUAAGCUAUUCCAACAUCAUUCAUAUGAUAAAAAAAACAUCAAAUAAAAAAUUGAAGUUCCUAAAAAAUUACAAUGAAACAGAAUAAAAGCACUUCAAGUAAGAAAAUUUGCACAAAAACAUAUGUAAAUGCAAAUGAAGGAGGGAGAUAGUAUAUACCAUCAUUGCGGCGCUUGAAAACAUAAUGUUCCAUCUGGAAGUCACAGUUCUUUGUACAGAGGUGGACUUCGGCAGCCAACAUCAUCGGUAUAUCCAACUCUUUCUAGGACAGAGGCCGUGCUGGUGCUACUGUUGUUCAGGUCGCCAUGGCUGUGCAAAGCCAGAGCUCGAUUGCUUGAGGGAGACGAAGCGAGAGUAAAACCAAAAUGAGGUAAGGGUUCUUUAACAUAGUGAGGUGAGGGAAGAAACUAGGGUUUUAAGGGCCUGUUGCAAUAUUAGCACAUCUUGGGCUGGUAAUUUUUAAAAAAGCCUAAACUCCAUGGAAGUUUAAAGAUUAAAGCCCCUUCAAAAUCCACGUUGAAUGUUUUUUCCAAAUGUCAUUCAAAUAUUUAAUUAUUUUAUAAAUUUAUAAUUGAAUAUACUAAAUUUGAUAUCAAAUUAGUUUUCAAACAUUUUAUACUUUAUGUAUUUAAUAUAAUAUUAUGGUAUCUAUGAAUAUAUUUUCAUGAAAUUAGACAAUGUCCUAAAGUCAGGUAUGGUUUCUUUUAAAAUAAUUAUUUUAUUUGAGGAAGAUUAAUCAAUAAAAUUAAGAUUUUCACGAGUUUCCUGUAGUGAUAUUUCUAUGAAGGUUUAAAAUCCCCUACUUUCUAACUUAGUUAAUGGAUUGGAAAUAUUUUAGAAUCUUACUUCUCAUUAUAUUUAUCUUAAUUUUAUAAAAUCUUACUUUUCUCUAUUAAAACAUAAUGCAAGGUUAACAAGCAUUUUAAUCAUGUAAAAAAAUAUUAUACAUAAAGUAAAAUAAUCUCAUAUCGUAUGCAAUUCUACUUUUAUUUGAACUCUUAAAGAUUCAACAAAAAAAAGAAAAUUUAAAGUAUUUUUUUAAAAUAAUCAAAUCACGAUAACAAAUGUAAAAUUUUAACAGCAUAAUUUAUAUAUUUUUAAGAACUUGAAAUUUCAGAAAAGGAAAAAGAGAACAUUAUACAUUACUUGAUAUGCAUACAUAUAAAUAUAAAUUACUUCAAGUUGAAACCUUAAUUUCUCAAGACUCCCACUCAUGAAGGCCUUCUUACAUGCCAUUAAAUAUUUAUUAGUGUUGUAAAGCUCAUAUACUUCUGAAGGUGUAGAGUUUGAGGCUCAAAACCUAUUAGAUAUGGAAGUAGGAAAACGUAGUUUGAGUCAUACGUUGUAGCGAAUCAACGUAUUUGAACUGAAAUUGAUUUUUUGGUUCAAGUCCGUGAGCGCGAGCUUUACUCCUCUUACUUGCCAUUUACAAACCCAAUAACAAAAAGUCAUUUAUAAACCAAGAGAAAAGUUUGUGGCUUUCCGAUGUGGGAUAAAAGUUUUUUAAAUAUAGAAUUUUAUAACAAUUCCCCACAAAUUUCAAAAAAUUUUCUUUGCUGGGUUUAAGUUUUGAGUGAAAAUGUUUGGAAUCUAGUAUAUUCUAGACUAUGAAUCAGUCUUAGACUGAUAAGAUAUAACAUACAGAGUAAUUGGUGAAGUUUUUGCUUCUAUGAAUUAAGUACUCUUUUUGUAGGCUGAAAUCUCAUCAAUCACAUUAUACUCCACAAUUCUUGCUAUUAACAUUGUAUUGCGUUAAAUAGGUCGUGCGCGCGCCUAGUAACUCAUAAGUGCUCUAAAGAUUAUGUCACAAUCUCAUAGGAGCGGCCCCACUCCACACUUACAUAGGUGAUACUAUCAAGUAUAUACUGCAAUUUAUACACCACCCAUAAAGGAUAUGAAUAUCAUUAAGAGAUUCCAUCUCAUCCUCUUAAUUAUUAAUGCAGUCUAGCAUUUCUCACACCAUAGGAAGGGACAACGACAAAUAGUGCUAGCAGAACUAACAAGUGACUUGUUAUUAUCCAUAUGAACCUUUUUCAUGGGAUCUCUAAUCACAAAGGUUGGGUUCCUAUUACUGUUAAUUUCAAAUUGGCUCAAGUUUCAUUCCACUUGAUGGUUUAUCUAUUAGUUUUCUCCCUAAAGGUUUAGUUCGCAGAUCGGCCAAAUUCACUUCUGACUUCACAUAAUCAAUGAAAAUAGUUUCAUCUUUCAGCAGCUGCUUAAUAACAUUAUGUUUUAAACAAAUAUGUUUAUUCUUAACAUUGAAAGUUUUAGUCUUUGUAAUGGCUAUUGCUCAUUGGCAAUCACAACGUAUUGAUAUAAAUGGUGUUGCUUUUAUUCCUAACGGAAUAUUUGCUAAGAAGUUUCUUAGCCAAUCAGCUUUAGUUCCAGCUAAUUUCAGAGUAAUAAACUACGACUCUAUAGUGAAUUUAGCAAUAAUAUUUUGUUUUGUUGAUUUCCAUGCAAUUGUACCACCUCCUAGAGUUAGUGGAUUUUAUUUCAUCUGAAUCUAAAAUCCAAUUAGUAUCACUAUAUCAUUCUAAUACAGCGAAAAAUCCACUAUAUAAGAUUUCAUAGUUCAUGGUACCUCUCAAAUCUUUCAUUAGUCUAACUAAUGCAGCCCAAUGAUCGUCAUUGGGAUUAUGUGUAAACCUACUCAAUCUACAUACAAUAUAAGCUAUAUCAGAUCGUGAAAAAUUCAUUAAAUGCAACAGAUUUCCAAUGAUUUGUACAUAUUUAAAUUGAGCAUCAGAGUCACCUCUAUUUUUCUUUAAUUGAGAGUUAGGAUCAUAAGGGGUGCUCACUGAUUUGACAUCGAAAUGUCCAAACUUUCUUAGAAGCUUCUCAAUAUAAUGCUCUUAUGAUAGCAUUAUACUAGCAUAAUUCUUUACGAUUUUAACUCCCAAAAUCACAUUUGCCUCUCCCAUAUCUUUCAUAUCAAAUUUAGAGGUAAGAAAAAUUUUUAUUUUACAAACUAUACCAUAACUCGUACAAAAAAUAAGUAUAUUAUCCACAUAUAAAUAAAUAAUCACAGAUUCACCAUUUAUACGUUUUGUAUAUGCGCACUUAUAAACUUCAACAGAGAAAAAACCAUCAUUUAAUAAAACUUGAUCAAAUUUCUCAUGCCACUAUUCGGGUGCUUGUUUUAAACCACAUAAGGAUUUGAGAAGUUUAUAAACUUUAUUUUCUUGACCAAAAAUAAUAUAACCAUCAGGAUAUACAAUAUAAAUUUCUUCUUCCAACUCUCCAUUUAAAAAAAUUAUUUUAACAUCCAUUUGAUGAAUAACAAAUUUAUGUAUAGAAACUAAAACAAUUAAUACUCUAAUAAAAGAAAUUCAUGCUAUAGGGACAAAGGUGUCAAGAUAAUCUAUACUGAGAUGCAUGAUGACCCGACUUACCACAUACAAAACAAUGUCCUUUCUUUUUAAAUGUGUGAUUAUUAAACUUAGUCUUGUAAUCAGGUUUUUUAUUUUCGUAUUUGUUAUUUGACUUGUUCACUUUCCUUGUACAAUAUUUAUUCUUGUAGUUAGCUCUUUGCCUUUUGUAGUUUUGAGUUUCCUCCCGUCUAUAUCUUCAAUGAUUAUAUGGGUGAUGAGAUCUGACGGUAUCAACUACUUAUGCUUGUGUUUCAAUUGUUACUAACAAAUUUAUGUAUAGAAACUAAAACAAUUAAUACUCUAAUAAAAGAAAUUCAUGCUACAGGGACAAAGGUGUCAAGAUAAUCUAUACUGAGAUGCAUGAUGACCCGACUUACCACAUACAAAACAAUGUCCUUUCUUUUUAAAUGUGUGAUUAUUAAAUUUAGCCUUGUAAUCAGGUUUUUUAUUUUCGUAUUUGUUAUUUGACUUGUUCACUUUCCUUGUACAAUAUUUAUUCUUGUAGUUAACUCUUUACCUUUUGUAGUUUUUAGUUUCCUCCUGUCUAUAUCUUCAAUGAUUAUAUGGGUGAUGAGAUCUGACGGUAUCAACUACUUAUGCUUGUGUUUCAAUUGUUACUUGUAGUCACUCCAAGAAUUUGGUAAUUUUUCUAUCAGGAAUUCAGCUACAAAUUCAUCUUGUAGAGUGAUGUUUUCAACUUUAAGAUCUUUUAGAAGUUUAUGGUACUCAUUGAUUUGCAUUUUGAUAUCUUUUCUUCAAUUAUUUUCCAUUUAUAAAAAUUACCAAUUACAAAUUUUUAUUUUUCAGCAUCCUUGGCAGUAUAUUUUAGGUUCAUCAAAUCCUAUAUUUCUUUUGCUUACUUGUAGGAAUAGUAGACAUCAAAGAGAUCGUUAGAAAGAAUACUAACUAUUAUAUGCCUAUACACCUUAUUAGAAUAUAUCUAGAUUUUACACAAUUUUGGAUCAAUAAAAGGUGCAGAUCUUGAUUCUGUGAGUGUUGAAGCUACGCUAUGCAUGUCAAGCAUUGAAAAAAUUAUCUCUUGCCAUCUCUUGAAAUUCUAACUCGAAAAGACUUCAAUUUUCGUUUGACAUAUGGAACCGUAGGUAGAAGAGACCCACUAUUUGCAGCAGUAGAAAACGUGGCGGCAGGAAGCACAGCAGAAGCAGAGGCAGUGACAAUGUUAUUGGAAGCAGGUAGUGCAGAAACAAAAAAAGUAACAACAUUUGGUUCUAUUUGUUUAAAGUUUUAAAUAAUCCUUAAGAUUGUUAGAUAUGGAAAUAGAAAAACGUAGUCUGAGUCAUGUGUUGCACUCUCUUUAAUAUAACCCAACAGGUAAAGCAAGAUAGAAAAGUAAAGAGUGCAUAGAAAAACAAUUAUCUAUGAACUGUAAAAGUAAAAUCUAUUUAUAAUCGUAGAAAAAGAAAUAUGAAAAUUGUUUAGAAAAAUAAGAAAAGACAUUAAAAUUAUUAGAAAAAUCUACUCAAAGAUUAAAUUUGUUUAAAAAAAUCAGCAAAAACGUUCAAAUAAAAAUCUCACAAGAGUUAUAAACGAUUUGAAUUUAAUAAAAAUAAUUAUUUAUCGAUAAAAUUCAAAAAAACAAAUAAAUAAAAAAUAAAAAUUUUAUAAUUUUAUUUAUCUGCAUAUAAAAAAAAAUAAAUUGACAAAUUCAAAUUAAAAUUAACUUUUUAAUCCAAAUUCAUGCGCGUGAAUUUUACUUCUCCUAUUUUUUUUUUACCAUUCUAAUAAUAAAAAAACCAUUUAUGAAAAAAAAAAAAUUAUCUUUUCAAUGUGGAAAAAAAAAGCUUAUGAAAUAUAAAAUUUUACAAUAAAACCUUAAAUUCCCACAAAUUAAUCUAGGAAAGUUAAUUUCUUGCUUUUUGCAGUCCUAUAUAAGCCCAAAAGAAAAGCCUGAAUUCUUGAACAAUGACCGUUCGCUAAAUACAGAACAGGUAGCAAAAUUAAAACGCGCAUGCACAGAACAGAAGUACAUUUCAAAUACCAACAUCCACAUAUUGCAAACAAAUUUUGACAUUAACAUCGGUCCUUCAAUUUCAAGCACAUUAAACUCCACUUAACAACAAAGAGCUACAGGCCCUAAGAUCCUAAACCCAUCUACCGAACAAAAUGCACAAACAGAGCCCUCUGUCUCUCCAUUUAAGACACAGUAACCUCAACUUUUUUGGCCUUGGGUGGUGGAGGAUGCUUCUCAACAACAACUGUUAGAACCCCAUUUUCGCAUUUGGCAGUAAUGGCAGAUACAUAGGCAUUUUAAUGGGAGAGAAUGCGGUACCAAAUAUAAUGGGAGACGAAGGAAAGUUCGAGAGGAGAUAUAGGAAGAGUCGGGAAGAAUCGCAAGCAUUAUGGAGUGAUCCCGUGUGUGCACGUGUACUUGUUAGGGACAUUGUGGAAUCUUGUUGAGUAGAUAUUUAAAACGUGGUGUGAAUGAGAAGGGUAGGGUGGCUAAUGAUGUUGAGACAGAACAAAUUGUUUUUGAAGAUGUUCCUGAGGGACAUCCAGUGCAAAUAAGUUCUAUUGUACAAGAUCGGGGUUCAAUUCCACUUUUCUGGUCCCAGGAAACUUCACGAUUGCAUAUUAAACCUGAUAUUAUAUGUGUGAUUUCGGCAGACUUAAAUUGUGAUAAUCUCAGUGGUAAUUUUUCAUAAAAUAUGCUGAUUUCUUGUUCUGUUCACAGUAUUGAAGAAAGACCAAAAUUAUGAGGCUACGAAGCUUCAUUUUGAAAAUCUUGUAAAGAGAUAUUGAAAUCCGAUAAUCAUUUUGAAUUUAAUAAAGGUAGGCCCCAGCAAUGUUUAAGAGAAAAAUUGUUACGUAUGUGCAUGACCAUGCAUGUAAAUGGAUCAUAAUCUUUUGGCAACUGUGUUCAUGACUGACAGACACAUGAAAAGAAGCCUCGAGAAAGUAUACUCCGCACUGAGUUUGCUAAUGCUAUCAGAUACAUAAAUAAAGGCUUAUCGGAGGAUAAGCGCCUUAGGUUCCUCCACUGGGAUUUGCAUAGACAUUCCAGAAAGUAUUAAGCUCGCAUUAGUCCUCCUUGUUUUUCCCUUCUCCAAUUACUUUUGGUGUUAUUGAUGUGAAUAUUAUUUGGUUGUUUUUGAACAGAGCUACCAAUGUAUUGUCACUUCUAGGGAAAGUGGCAGCAUAUGCGUUGAACUUGACUGGCAUCUUUUAUUGUCAAGUCACACCAAGUUUAAGGCCCAUUGGGUUUUUGUAUUCAUCUGAGUAAGUAAUGCUGCUGACUUCUUUACAGCAUUUUUCAUCUCUUAUGACAAGGUUUUCUGUGCUUUGAUUGUCCAUUUAAACAAUCUUUUGGCAUUGCUUUUGAACCUAUUUAUAAUUCACAGCAUUUGAUUUAUGAUUUGUUGAAUUGUAACGGCAAAGAUUCAUAAUGCUCAUUUAUUAUUCGAGGUUGGUGCUUGACCAGCUUGGGGAAUGCUUUUAGACAUUUAUAUUUGCUGGCUUAUGCCUUGAGGAAUAUUGUACUCCAUUAGCAACUUCUCAUUUUAGCCAAAUUACUAUCAUUUCUGCUUAAUUAUUGCUAGCUAUUUAUGCUGUUGGCAAUGUAAAUAUUCUCCAGAAAAAAUGAUGAUGAAUGCUCUCUCAAAAUUACUUCCAAUGAAAAUGACUUGAGAAGGAAUUUGGACUCAGGAAUUACCAAUGCUUGUUCUGAAGAUGACAUAAAUCAGAGUAUCAAGACCCCUAUGUUUCAAAAUGGGGUGCUAAGGACCAAUUGCAUAGACUGUUUAGAUCGCACAAAUGUUGCCCAACAUGCCUGUGGUCUGGUGGCUCUUGGUCAUCAACUGCGUGCUCUUGGAUUAAUAGAAUCAGAAAAUAUUGAUUUAGAUAAUCCGUUAGCAGAGGAUUUAUUGGGGAUCUUUGAGACAAUGGGUGACACACUUGCAUUACAGUAUGGUGGCUCUGCUGCACACAACAAGGUAAUUCUUUCUGAAUAAGGUUGAAUUUAAAAUUUUUAGAUAUUACACAAUGCAACUGGGAUUAGAGAUAUUUGCUUGUAAUAUGUUUGCCAGUAGGUCUAUUGCCUUUGUUCUGUUUGAUGAAUUUGAUGUAUUUGAUUUCUCCAAGAUUAUAAACUUGUGGCUGUGGCUGUUGCUCUUUAGUGAAUAACAUAGAAGUGUAGAAUUUUAGAAACAGCAAAGAAAUUGUGCGUGGUAGUUUUUAAUAAGUAUAUUUUAAAGUGUGAAACAAAUGAGUAUGAUCUAUCAACCAUGCCAACUGGUGGUGUUAUUAGGUUUGAAAUUUAAUUUAACUUAAGUAACUUCGCAUGCAGUCAUCUAUUUGGUUGUGCCGAGGAAAGAACAAAGAGUUUAAUUUUGAUGUCUGAACCUGUCCAUCAGUGAUGAAGUAAGCAAGCUGAGUGAGUUAAGACAAAUUAUUUAGUAUAGGAAGCAAUUUAGAUACUAAUAUUAUUAGUUAAUCAUUUUAAAAGUAGAAGAAUUAUAUGCUUUUCCUAUCUUUAUUCUUAAAAUAAUUUAUUUACCACUCCUUGGGACAGCUGUAGUUUGGAACUUUACUUCUAACAUUUGAACCCCUUCUUGUAGGCUCAAAUAAACUACUUUUUCAUUAGAGUGAAAUCCAGUUGAUAUUGGGUUACAAUUUGCCCUUUGGCAUAUCGGAUGAGACUCAUUUGUUCUUUUCCCGUCUAGAUGCUUUGAUUUCUCUAGACUAGAAUUCGUUGGUUCCCGUUUGUCACUGUUUUGAAAUGAUGUUAACAGAUAUUUUAAGAAAGGAGAGGCCAGAGGAAAGCUGCAACUCAGUCCCAAGAGUUUUUUAGAACUUUACAGCGUUAUUACAGCAAUGCAUACAUGGAUGCUGAAAAACAAGACGCUAUUAACGUGUAAGUUAAAUCUGCUUUCUUUUCAAAAGCAUCAGAGUUUUUCCUGGAAUAGAAGCUACAAGGCAUUCUCAAAUUUUGAUAUGAGGUGCACUGGCAUGGGAAAGUUACUUGUUUAACAUGACAGUAAUUUUUAAGCAGAUUCUUGGGUCACUUCCAGCCACAACAGGGAAAGCCAGCAUUAUGGGAAUUGGAUUCAGAUCAGCAGCACAAUGUUAGAGGACAUGGUCCUGAUUUGGUUGAUGAGCGUGCUAGGUACUAUAUUCCUCAUGAUUGCAAAUAUUCUCCGCAUGAAAAUUUUGUUCAUCAGCAAACAAUGCGUUAGUGCUACUGUGGUUUCCUUAGAAACUACAAAACAUUUCAGAAAAUCAUGUCAGAAAUUCGCACAUUUUGCUUUUAUCAGAUAAUAGAAAUAAGUAAUCAUACAAAAAGAGGAUGGAGCUUCUGAAUGCAGGAGAACCCAUUUAACACAUAGAUCACAGACCUCUUCAGUUGAAAAUCUCUCUCAAUUGUAUGGAUCCUGUUCUACUGUUAUUGUACAGAUAAAUUUCUCAGCUUAAAGCUAAUUUUUUUUUUUUUUUCAUGAUUCUCUUUUUUUUUUUUUAUAAAAUUAUUGUUCUCGCAUCUUAUGAAAUCAUUCAGUAUUUUUAUCUUGAAAAUUGCAGAUGACCAUUUCAUAUUUGUGUCUCAGUAGAAUUUGUGUGCUUUUGGGCCAGGAUAUACAAUGCAAACUGAUCCAGGACCAAGAGUUCCUUUUUUGAAUUUCUAACAUUGAUUUCUGCUAUCUUCAGGUCAUUCAUUAAAAGGUCACUAUCAGAUUGGGAGCUUUUUUUCAAUUCAUGUAUAAUAAAAAAAAUAUUUAUUAAACCACGCAGAAUCCGAAAAUAUUUUCGAAUUCUUUGUGUCAAACAAAUAUGUUCGACACUAUGAUUGUCGAACACGCUUGUUCGACACUCAUAGUGUCAAACAAAGUACGGAAGCAUGUUGUUCGACACUAUUAGUGUCGAACAACAUGCACAGCUCAUUCACGUCCAAGCCGUCAAGCCGUCAAGGUGUCCAUCAAAUUGCUGGACAUGUUCGGGUCCUUCCUCUAACAGUUUUAUAUAAAAAUAAUAUUUUAUUAAUUUUUUAAUUUUUUAUAAAUUUAAAAAUUAAUUAAUAAAUUUUUUAAAAUUAUAAAAUUUAAAUUAAAAAAAUUUAAAAAUAUUUUUUAAUUUCAAAUGCUUUUCAUUUUUAUUUAUUAAAAUUUAGCCUUUAAAUAAUUAAAUUCUUUUAAAAAUAUAAAAAAUAAAUUAAAAAUAUUUUAAAAAUAUUUUUUGACGGCUUAAAUUUUCUGCAAUCCAUUGCUUCAUANNNNNNNNNNNNNNNNNNNNNNNNNNNNNNNNNNNNNNNNNNNNNNNNNNNNNNNNNNNNNNNNNNNNNNNNNNNNNNNNNNNNNNNNNNNNNNNNNNNNNNNNNNNNNNNNNNNNNNNNNNNNNNNNNNNNNNNNNNNNNNNNNNNNNNNNNNNNNNNNNNNNNNNNNNNNNNNNNNNNNNNNNNNNNNNNNNNNNNNNNNNNNNNNNNNNNNNNNNNNNNNNNNNNNNNNNNNNNNNNNNNNNNNNNNNNNNNNNNNNNNNNNNNNNNNNNNNNNNNNNNNNNNNNNNNNNNNNNNNNNNNNNNNNNNNNNNNNNNNNNNNNNNNNNNNNNNNNNNNNNNNNNNNNNNNNNNNNNNNNNNNNNNNNNNNNNNNNNNNNNNNNNNNNNNNNNNNNNNNNNNNNNNNNNNNNNNNNNNNNNNNNNNNNNNNNNNNNNNNNNNNNNNNNNNNNNNNNNNNNNNNNNNNNNNNNNNNNNNNNNNNNNNNNNNNNNNNNNNNNNNNNNNNNNNNNNNNNNNNNNNNNNNNNNNNNNNNNNNNNNNNNNNNNNNNNNNNNNNNNNNNNNNNNNNNNNNNNNNNNNNNNNNNNNNNNNNNNNNNNNNNNNNNNNNNNNNNNNNNNNNNNNNNNNNNNNNNNNNNNNNNNNNNNNNNNNNNNNNNNNNNNNNNNNNNNNNNNNNNNNNNNNNNNNNNNNNNNNNNNNNNNNNNNNNNNNNNNNNNNNNNNNNNNNNNNNNNNNNNNNNNNNNNNNNNNNNNNNNNNNNNNNNNNNNNNNNNNNNNNNNNNNNNNNNNNNNNNNNNNNNCUGCGUGAUUUAAUAAAUAUUUUUUUUAUUAUACAUGAAUUGAAAAAAAGCUCAUCAGAUGGCAAUCUUCUUUGUGAAAGUGACUCGCUUGUAACAGCUACCAAGGUUGCACAUAAUAAGGCUUUUUCCGAGGAGCAAGGAGUUUGCAAGGGUCUUUCAGAUUCAACUCCAGAGAUCUCCACCUGUGAAAGUGAUAUGUCAUACUCUAGGUCUGUAUUAAAUCACAUCUCCAUACUUGUUACUUCACCACAUCACUUUUUGAUACAAUACACCCAUGUUAAAACACAUUGUAAAGUAGCAUAUGUAAAUGCUAAUGCCCAAGAAAGCCAGGCUUGUAAGUGUUAACCAGCUUUUCAAAUUUAGCAUGUAAUAAUUACAUUCAACAGUCGGUAAAUUUAAUGUUCAUGAACUCUGAUGAGAGAGCAUUCAACUGCAUUGCUGCUGACAGAAUGUUGGUUGUCAAUUUAGGUAUACUCCCUCAAUGCCUCGCAUGCAACUUUUUAAAGAUAUAGGGGAAGAAUACUAUGAAAGUGAUCCUAUUUGCUAUGAUGAACAUGGGGAUGCAUGUAGUUGCUCAAAUUUUCUUGACUUGGACUGGCUUUCUUCAUCAGGGAAUUCUUGUGAAGGAGAUCCUUUCGAUAGGUAAGUUUAUGGUUCCACCGAGUUCUUGAACGCAGUGGCUUACAAAUAAUAGUUAACGCCCAUUGAUGUUUUAAUGGUUGCAGGUCAAUUGCUGGCCUAUCACAUGAUUGUCUUGUGAAUGAACUGAAACGCGAAAUAUCUGCCAGUGAGUCUGGAUCUAGCUCGAAGGUUAGUGUUGAAUAUCUGACACUUACGACAUAGCGGUUCCACGGGAGGAUGUCUAUAGAUGAUAAAUUAAUUUCAAUACAUGCUUCUAGGCAGAUAAUAAUCAUUUUACGUUUCGUUGAGAAAAUUUUCUUAAUUAUAUUAGAAAUAUUAAAUAUUAAAUUGAAAAAAUUACUAUUUAGUCCAUACUAUAUUUAGUAUGGAAAAACUCAUUAGUUAGACUUUUGAUUUUAAAAAAUGCAUUAAAAUGUCCCUAACAUUUUAAAAAGUUUAUUAGGUAUUUCUUCCAUUAAUUUUAAUCGUUAAGAAUUAUAAAAAAAUUAAAAUAUUUAAGGAAUUAAUUAGUAAACUUUUUAAAAAUUUGAGAGAUCAACUAAUAAGUUUUUCAAAAUUAUAAGAACUAAAUAGUAAAAUAUUUAAUAGCAAAAUUAACAUUUGAAAAAUUAUAAGAACUAAAUAGUAAAAUAUUUAAUAGCAAACCUAGCAUUUGAACUAAGUAGUAGACUUUUUAAAAUAUUAAAAACGGUUUAAUAUAUUUUUUAAAAUUAAAAAAAUAAUUAAUGAAUUUUAUCAUAUUAUAGGAAUAAAUUUUCCGUAAGAAUAUCAAUAUAAUAAAACAACAUUUUCCCUAUGGUAUCUAAAAUGAUGUUUUUCUAAAAAACAAUUCUGGUUUUGCACAUCAGUUAUAAUCUUAUAAUUUGCGUGGCUGCGUUAGUUUCAAAUAUUAAUUUAGCAUAUUCCUUUUACCUCUAGGGAAGAAAUCAAACCGGGACUGACAUCUCUUCCGAAGACGAGACAGUCAGAGAGGUGGAUUUUCAGAGCGGUUUCUAUGGUGGGUAACACAUGGGGAGACACUUUUUCAAAUAAGUUAGUUAUUUUGGAUUUGAGAUGAUAGUAAUUUAUCCGAUUUCUUUGGUCCCAUCCGAAAGAUGUGAAUUACAUAAUAGAGAAUAAAGAGUAGGAGACCUUCCUAAAGAUAAGAAAGGCACCGGCAUCUCCUGAAACUAUGUACUGAAUUACUGUAAUGGUAGUGUCUGAUUUUUGUUCAGAAGGGUGUGAUCGAGGCAACACAACACGAACAUGCUAAUUCAUUUGGAGCUCUCAGCUCAGGUUCUCCAACUCCUCUAAGAUAAAAAAUAAUCUUACAUUUAAAUUUCAAAUCUAGAUUCCUAGUUUGCAAUUUAGGUUAAAUUUGUAGUCAGUCUUUAACUCUUGUUUAUAAAAUGAACUCAUUAUUGACAGCUGCUUCAAUAGUAGAUCUCGUUAAUAAGGCAAUACUCGAGUGAUAACUUUGCGAUCGAUUAAUUCAUAUAGACAUUUUGUUUUAUAUAUUCAUCGCAUCAUCCACUCCGAGGGCAAGCUAAUUUCUGGAAACCCAUGCCCACGCUGCAUCAUCAGGGUGAAGCAAUUUUUCAGGUAUUCUUUUUUCUAAUGAACAGGCAAAGCAGCGGAAAAUUUAAUAGUUUCAAAGACUGAUUUUGGGGAGGUUGAAAACAUUCACCGAAGUAACGGCUUGAAUUUUAACGGCUUGAAUUUGUUACGUAUAACAGGUUAAACUGAUAGUUCAAGUUUUUCCAUAAUCAGUCAAAAUUUCAAUCGGUAUGGUUUUUUUUUUUCAAAAGACCCAUCUUAUAUAUCGGCCACUCCAUUAACUUUUUCUUUUUUGAACUUUUCAACAUUAAAAAAGCAAGAAAACUUGUCUGUUGAAAAAUAAGAAAACAACAUCACUAGGUCAAUGAAGAUCAACUUUCAAAAACUUUGAUGUUCGUAAUCCCUUAAAAAAAAAAAACUAAUAAAAUUUUAAUAUGUAUAGAAAAUCCUCAUGCUUUACUCAUCCCAGCCAGUAGGAGCAAGCGCAGGGGUGGGGGCUGCUGCACCUGCAAAUUGCGGGGUGGGGGCUGCCGCUGCACCUGCAAUAUGCGGGGUGGGGGCUGCCGCUGCACCAGCAAAUUGCGGUGGUGGAGCUGCAGCAUCCCAUUCUGUGGUGAAUCCACCUAAAGUUGAACCCAAAAAGAAGUGUUGUCAGAAAGAAAAGAAAUCGGAAAAAAAAAAAGGGAGUUGGAUCAAAAGCAGCAUCUGACAACUUCAUGAAAUGUAAAUUUAAAAUGAUUAAGGGAGCUAAACUGGUGUUGGAGUAACUCAAUACCUUGUUCUGGAUAGAAAUUGGCAGCAGGAACAGCAGCAAUAGGUGGUGGAGCUGCUUCAGCAGUCCAUUGGCCAUCAGCAAUUUGGGCACCCCAAUCAGCUGCAGGAAGCCCAUAAUCAGCAGGAGGUAGUGCAUAAUCAGCAACGGGCACUGCUUCCUCCUCUUCCUGUUCCUUGGUUUCCUCAGGUUCU
rnacentral:lncRNA from 1 species